AGUUUGAUCCUGGCUCAGAGUGAUCGCUGGCGGCGUGCUUAACACAUGCAAGUCGAGCGAAUUUCGACAGUGUAUCGUCGAAGUUAGCGGCAGACGGGUGAGUAAUACUUGGGUAAUCUACCCUUGAGAGGGAAACAACCUGCCGAAAGGUGGGCUAAUGUCCCAUAAGACCACAGGAAUGCAUAUUCCAGAGGUCAAAGCUCCGCAAGGGGCGCUUGAGGAGGAGUCCGAGUCCUAUCAGGUAGUUGGUGAGGUAAUGGCUCACCAAGCCUAUGACGGGUAGCCGACCUGAAAGGGUGACCGGCCACACUGGCACUGAGACACGGGCCAGACUCCUACGGGAGGCAGCAGUGGGGAAUUUUGGACAAUGGGGGCAACCCUGAUCCAGCGACGCCGCGUGGAGGAUGAAGGUCUUCGGAUUGUAAACUCCUUUUGGAGGGGAUGAAUGCCUACGUGAAGAACGUAGGGUGACUGUACUCUCUGAAUAAGCCACGGCUAACUACGUGCCAGCAGCCGCGGUAAUACGUAGGUGG
rnacentral:rRNA from 1 species